CUAGCUCUGUAUUGGUCAUGAUUAAUAUCAAAAGAAUGCAACUUUAGAGCAAAUUCUUGGGAUUUCUUCGUGUCUGCCCCUGAGACUGUAGAGGACGGUAAUCUGAGGCUAGAGGGGACACUUGCCUCUAGCUAUGAGAGCCCGGGGAUUUGGGGGGAAAGCCUGAGCACGUCUAGAGAGGAGUCACAGAAGCUUUCUCCUCCGCUCGGGAUGAUUCAUCAGGUGGGGGAAGUCCCAGUCUGGGACUCGGUUGAGAAGUCCUAGGGAGUUGCCCACAGCCCACGUGUGGUCCUGACUACUUGGAAAAGCCACCAUCAAAAAUGAAACCUCACCAUGAAAAAGAUUUAGAACCUUGGGAAGAUAAAGAGGAGCAAGAAUUGUGCCCUGUACCAAGGAGGCACUACUGAAUGAAAUAAAAUGAAAUGUGUGCUUAGCAUCUCCUUUCCU